CACGAAAUGGCACCAUAAGUCCUGUUUUGACUUCUAUCCAGUUCAAAGAGACAGUUGUGUAUUCAUGUGACAGCGGAUAUCAUCUGGCUGGUAAAGACAGAGCUCUUUGUCAAGCCAGUGGCACUUUGGAUGCUGUGCCCCCGAAGUGUCAAGAUAUCGAUGAGUGUUCAAAUGGUGGUCAUGAUUGCAAUGCACUGGCAUUAUGUCACAAUACCAUUGGCUCAUUUGAAUGUUCCUGCGAGACUGGAUAUUACGGAAAUGGGACAUCUUGUGAAGCUUGUGGAGUUCCGUCAGGACAUUUUAUACAGUCAAUUUCAAGCGAUGGAGCUGUAACCUGCGUUCAUGGUUACGAGGUUGAUCAAGGUAGCACAGCUGAAACCUGUACCAAUACUGCUGGUGUAUGGCAGAAUGCACCUACCU